UGAGACUCUGUCUCCAAAAAAAAAAAAAGGAAUGACAUGGAGACAAUUAGCCUGGCCCCUAUGCAAGGAUGAUACACAAAUUUGUGAAGCAUUCAAUAUUUUU
rnacentral:snRNA from 1 species